GACGAACGCUGGCGGCGUGCCUAAUACAUGCAAGUAGAACGCACAGUUUAUACCGUAGCUUGCCACACCAUAGACUGUGAGUUGCGAACGGGUGAGUAACGCGUAGGUAACCUGCCUGGUAGCGGGGGAUAACUAUUGGAAACGAUAGCUAAUAUCGCAUAAUAUUAAUUAUUGCAUGAUAAUUAAUUGAAAGGUGCAAUUGCACCACUACCAGAUGGACCUGCGUUGUAUUAGCUAGUAGGUGAGGUAACGGCUCACCUAGGCGACGAUACAUAGCCGACCUGAGAGGGUGAUCGGCCACACUGGGACGGAGACACGGCCCAGACUCCUACGGGAGGCAGCAGUAGGGAAUCUUCGGCAAUGGACGAAAGUCUGACCGAGCAACGCCGCGUGAGUGAAGAAGGGUUUCGGAUCGUAAAGCUCUGUUGUAAGAGAAGAACGGGUGUGAGAGUGGAAAGUUCACACUGUGACGGUAUCUUACCAGAAAGGGACGGCUAACUACGUG
rnacentral:rRNA from 1 species